UGGGGAAUAUUGCGCAAUGGGCGAAAGCCUGACGCAGCGACGCCGCGUGGAGGAUGAAGGUCUUCGGAUUGUAAACUUCUGUUAAGUGGGAAGAAAGACCUGUUUUUAAUAGAAAUGGGGGAUGACGGUACCAUUAGAGAAAGCACCGGCUAAACUCGUGCCAGCAGCCGCGGUAAUACGAGUGGUGCAAGCGUUAUUCGGAAUCAUUGGGCGUAAAGGGUGUGUAGACGGUAUGUUAAGUCAACUGUUAAAUUCUCCGGCCUAACCGGAGGUCAGCAGUAGAUACUGAUGUGCUUGAGGGUGGAAGAGAGAAGUGGAAUUCUCGGAGUAGCGGUAAAAUGCGUAGAUCUCGAGAGGAACACCAAUGGCGAAGGCAGCUUCUUGGUCCAUUUCUGACGUUGAAACACGAAAGCGUGGGGAGCAAACAGGAUUAGAUACCCCCGUAGUCC
rnacentral:rRNA from 1 species